rnacentral:rRNA from 1 species
GACGAACGCUGGCGGCGCGCUUAACACAUGCAAGUCGAACGGAAAGGCCUGCUUUCCCUUGUGGAUUGCGGGUACUCGAGUGGCGAACGGGUGAGUAACACGUGAGUGAUCUGCCCCCAACUUGGGUAUAAGCCUGGGAAACUGGGUCUAAUUCCCGAUAGGACUGCAGGGUGGUGCCUGUGGUGGAAAACGAUUUUCUAGUGGUUGGGGAUGAGCUCGCGGCCUAUCAGCUUGUUGGUGGGGUAAUGGCCUACCAAGGCGGCGACGGGUAGCCGGCCUGAGAGGGUGGACGGCCACAUUGGGACUGAGAUACGGCCCAGACUCCUACGGGAGGCAGCAGUGGGGAAUAUUGCACAAUGGGCGGAAGCCUGAUGCAGCGACGCCGCGUGGGGGAUGACGGCCUUCGGGUUGCAAACUCCUUUCGACCGCGAGGAAGCCACCUGGUUGGAAGGGUGGUGACGGUAGUGGUAGAAGAAGCACCGGCUAACUACGUG